AUGGGUGAGGAGGAGAAGAAGCCCAAGGAGGAGGAGAAGCCCAAGGAGGAGGAGAAGCCCAAGGAGGGGGAGGAGGAGAAGCCCAAGGACGACAAGCCCAAGGAGGGGGAGGGCGAGGGGGAGAAGCCCAAGGAGGAGGAGGCGGCGCCCCCGCCGCCGCCGCCGCCGCCGGAGGAGGUCGUGAUGCGCGUCUACAUGCACUGCGAGGGCUGCGCCAGGAAGGUCAAGAAGAUCCUCAAGAGAUUCGAUGGGGUAGAGGACGUCAUUGCUGACUCCAAGGCACACAAGGUGGUUGUGAAGGGAAAGAAGGCUGCCGCCGACCCGAUGAAGGUGGUGGAGCGUGUUCAGAAGAAGACGGGCCGCAAGGUGGAGCUCCUCUCGCCGUUACCGCCGCCGCCGGAGGAGAAGCAGGAAGAGGAGAAGAAGGAGGAACCUGAGCCGCCGAAACCUGAAGAGAAGAAGGAGCCAACGGUGAUCUCCGUGGUGCUGAAGGUGCACAUGCACUGCGAGGCCUGCGCGCAGGCGAUAAAGAAGAGGAUCGAAAAGAUGAAAGGAGUGCAAUCUGCAGACCCAGACCUGAAGGCGUCUGAAGUGACGGUGAAGGGCGUGUUUGAGGAGGUCAAGCUGGCUGAGUACGUGCACAAGCGCACCGGCAGGCAUGCGGCCAUUAUCAAGUCCGAGCCGGUUGCCCCGGCCGAGAAGGCCGGCGAAGGCGACGCCAAGGAUGAGAAGAAGGCAGCCGAAGGCGGCGAAGAGAAGAAGGACGACAAGGAGGAGAAGAAGGACGACAAGGAUGGCGCUGCAGACGAGAAGAAAGAGGAGAAAGACAAGGAGGAUGGCGGCGCCGGCGGCGAGGAGAAGGAGAAGGAGAAAGACCCCGGCGCCAUCGCCGCAGCCAACCUCUACAUGCACUACCCGCAGUUCGCGUUCCCGGGAGGGUACUACCCGCCGAGGCCGGGGUACGCCGCCUACCCUCCGCCGCCGGCCUACCCGCCGUACCCGCCGCAGAUCUUCAGCGACGAGAACCCGAACGCCUGCUCCGUCAUGUAA
rnacentral:rRNA from 1 species